rnacentral:rRNA from 1 species
UAGCUGCAUUAUUUGACGUUAGCGACAGAAGAAGCACCGGCUAACUCCGUGCCAGCAGCCGCGGUAAUACGGAGGGUGCGAGCGUUAAUCGGAAUUACUGGGCGUAAAGCGCAUGCAGGUGGUUUGUUAAGUUCAGAUGUGAAAGACCCGGGGCGUCAACCUCGGAAUAGCAUUUGAAACUAGGCAGACUAGAGUACUGUAGAGGGGGGUAGGAAUUUCAGGUGUAGCGGUGAAAUGCGUAGAGAUCUGAAGGAAUACCGGUGGCGAAGGCGGCCCCCUCGGACAGAUACUGACACUCAGAUGCGAAAGCGUGGGGAGCAAACAGGAUUAGAUACCCUGGUAG